GUGACUGCGUACCUUUUGUAUAAUGGGUCAGCGACUUAUAUUCUGUAGCAAGGUUAACCGAAUAGGGGAGCCGGAGGGAAACCGAGUCUUAAUUGGGCGUUAAGUUGCAGGGUAUAGACCCGAAACCCGGUGAUCUAGCCAUGGGCAGGUUGAAGGUUGGGUAACACUAACUGGAGGACCGAACCGACUAAUGUUGAAAAAUUAGCGGAUGACCUGUGGCUGGGGGUGAAAGGCCAAUCAAACCGGGAGAUAGCUGGUUCUCCCCGAAAGCUAUUUAGGUAGCGCCUCGUGAAUUCAUCUCCGGGGGUAGAGCACUGUUUCGGCUAGGGGGCCAUCCCGGCUUACCAACCCGAUGCAAACUGCGAAUACCGGAGAAUGUUAUCACGGGAGACACACGGCGGGUGCUAACGUCCGUCGUGAAGAGGGAAACAACCCAGACCGCCAGCUAAGGUCCCAAAGUCAUGGUUAAGUGGGAAACGAUGUGGGAAGGCCCAGACAGCCAGGAUGUUGGCUUAGAAGCAGCCAUCAUUUAAAGAAAGCGUAAUAGCUCACUGGUCGAGUCGGCCUGCGCGGAAGAUGUAACGGGGCUAAACCAUGCACCGAAGCUGCGGCAGCGACACUCAGGUGUUGUUGGGUAGGGGAGCGUUCUGUAAGCCUGUGAAGGUGUGUCGUGAGGCAUGCUGGAGGUAUCAGAAGUGCGAAUGCUGACAUAAGUAACGAUAAAGCGGGUGAAAAGCCCGCUCGCCGGAAGACCAAGGGUUCCUGUCCAACGUUAAUCGGGGCAGGGUGAGUCGACCCCUAAGGCGAGGCCGAAAGGCGUAGUCGAUGGGAAACGGGUUAAUAUUCCCGUACUUGGUGUUACUGCGAAGGGGGGACGGAGAAGGCUAUGUUGGCCGGGCGACGGUUGUCCCGGUUUAAGCGUGUAGGUGUGUGUUCCAGGUAAAUCCGGUUCACUUUAACACUGAGGCGUGAUGACGAGGCACUACGGUGCUGAAGCAACAAAUGCCCUGCUUCCAGGAAAAGCCUCUAAGCAUCAGGUAACAUCAAAUCGUACCCCAAACCGACACAGGUGGUCAGGUAGAGAAUACCAAGGCGCUUGAGAGAACUCGGGUGAAGGAACUAGGCAAAAUGGUGCCGUAACUUCGGGAGAAGGCACGCUGACACGUAGGUGAAGUGAUUUACUCAUGGAGCUGAAGUCAGUCGAAGAUACCAGCUGGCUGCAACUGUUUAUUAAAAACACAGCACUGUGCAAACACGAAAGUGGACGUAUACGGUGUGACGCCUGCCCGGUGCCGGAAGGUUAAUUGAUGGGGUCAGCGCAAGCGAAGCUCCUGAUCGAAGCCCCGGUAAACGGCGGCCGUAACUAUAACGGUCCUAAGGUAGCGAAAUUCCUUGUCGGGUAAGUUCCGACCUGCACGAAUGGCGUAAUGAUGGCCAGGCUGUCUCCACCCGAGACUCAGUGAAAUUGAACUCGCUGUGAAGAUGCAGUGUACCCGCGGCAAGACGGAAAGACCCCGUGAACCUUUACUAUAGCUUGACACUGAACAUUGAGCCUUGAUGUGUAGGAUAGGUGGGAGGCUUUGAAGUGUGGACGCCAGUCUGCAUGGAGCCGACCUUGAAAUACCACCCUUUAAUGUUUGAUGUUCUAACGUGGACCCGUAAUCCGGGUUGCGGACAGUGUCUGGUGGGUAGUUUGACUGGGGCGGUCUCCUCCUAAAGAGUAACGGAGGAGCACGAAGGUUGGCUAAUCCUGGUCGGACAUCAGGAGGUUAGUGCAAUGGCAUAAGC
rnacentral:rRNA from 1 species